AUUGCUUCUCGGCCUUUUGGCUAAGAUCAAGUGUAGUAUUAAUUCUGCUAACCUAGGACCAGGAAAGGACUUUCUAUCUUCUAAUGAUUUUCCUUAUUUUCUUUUUUCAGUGUCUUAAAGCUUUU
rnacentral:snRNA from 1 species